rnacentral:rRNA from 1 species
UACAGAGGUCUCAAGCGUUGUUCGGAUUCAUUGGGCGUAAAGGGUGCGUAGGCGGCGCGGUAAGUCGGGUGUGAAACCUCGGAGCUUAACUCCGAAACUGCAUUCGAUACUGCCGUGCUUGAGGACUGGAGAGGAGACUGGAAUUUACGGUGUAGCGGUGAAAUGCGUAGAUGUCGUAAGGAAGACCAGUGGCGAAGGCGGGUCUCUGGACAGUUCCUGACGCUGAGGCACGAAGGUCAGGGGAGCAAACGGG